rnacentral:rRNA from 1 species
UACAGAGGUCUCGAGCGUUAGGCGGAAUCACUGGGCUUAAAGCGUGUGUAGGCGGAUCGUUAAGUGCCUUGUGAAAUCCCACGGCUCAACCGUGGAACUGCUUGGCAUACUGGCGGUCUUGAGCAACCUAGGGGCGAGCGGAACAAAUGGUGGAGCGGUGAAAUGCGUAGAUAUCAUUUGGAACGCCAAUGGUGAAAACAGCUCGCUGGGGGUUUGCUGACGCUGAGACACGAAAGCCAGGGGAGCAAACAGG